UUGGCUCAGGACGAACGCUGGCGGCGUGCUUAACACAUGCAAGUCGAACGAUGAGGCCCUUCGGGGUGGAUUAGUGGCGAACGGGUGAGUAACACGUGGGAAAUCUGCCCUGCACUCUGGGACAAGCCUUGGAAACGAGGUCUAAUACCGGAUAUUACCUGUCCUCGCAUGGGGACGGGUGGAAAGCUCCGGCGGUGCAGGAUGAUCCCGCGGCCUAUCAGCUUGUUGGUGGGGUAACGGCCCACCAAGGCGACGACGGGUAGCCGGCCUGAGAGGGCGACCGGCCACACUGGGACUGAGACACGGCCCAGACUCCUACGGGAGGCAGCAGUGGGGAAUAUUGCACAAUGGGCGAAAGCCUGAUGCAGCGACGCCGCGUGAGGGAUGACGGCCUUCGGGUUGUAAACCUCUUUCAGCAGGGAAGAAGCGCAAGUGACGGUACCUGCAGAAGAAGCACCGGCUAACUACGUG
rnacentral:rRNA from 1 species